UCCGUGGCUGUACCACCUGCAGAUCAGACUGGGCAAUCCGUGUGAAGUUAGGCAGGUUUGGGCCUGGCCAGUACUUGGAUGGGAGACCACCUGAGAAAGCUGGAUUGCUGCUGGAA
rnacentral:rRNA from 1 species